rnacentral:rRNA from 1 species
UACGAAGGGGGCUAGCGUUGCUCGGAAUCACUGGGCGUAAAGCGCACGUAGGCGGAUUGUUAAGUCAGGGGUGAAAUCCUGGAGCUCAACUCCAGAACUGCCUUUGAUACUGGCGAUCUCGAGUCCGGGAGAGGUGAGUGGAACUGCGAGUGUAGAGGUGAAAUUCGUAGAUAUUCGCAAGAACACCAGUGGCGAAGGCGGCUCACUGGCCCGGUACUGACGCUGAUGCACGAAAGCUAGGGGAGCAAACAGG